rnacentral:rRNA from 1 species
AACCUGGUUGAUCCUGCCAGUAGUCCUAUGCUUGUCUCAAAGAUUAAGCCAUGCAUGUCUAAGUAUAAGCAUUUAUACAGUGAAACUGCAGACGGCUCAUUAAAACAGUUAUGGUUUAUUUGGUGGUUACCUUGCUACUUGGAUAACUGUAGUAAUUCUGGAGCUAAUACAUGCUUAAGGGGCAACGUCACGAAGUCCUGUAUUUAUUAGAUUAAAGCCGGUCGUUUUCGGACGCAAUUGGUGAAUCAUGAUAAUUAAUCUGAUCGCUGGCCUUCCGCCAGCGACGUGCCAUUCAAAUUUCUGCCCUAUCAUGCUUUAGAUGAUAGGAUAUGGGCCUAUCAUGGCGGUGACGGGUGACGGAGAAUUAGGGUUCGAUUCCGGAGAGGGAGCCUGAGAAACGGCUACUACUUCUAAGGAAGGCAGCAGGCGCGCAAAUUACCUAAUCCUUAUUCAGGGAGGUAGUGACAAGAAAUAACAAUAGUUCGGCUUCUAGCCAGACUAAUUGGAAUGGGCACAACUUAAACAUCUUGACGAGAAACAAUUGGAGGGCAAGUCUGGUGCCAGCAGCCGCGGUAAUUCCAGCUCCAAUAGCGUAUACUAAAGUUGUUGCAGUUAAAAAGCUCGUAGUUGGAUUUCUGCUCGAGAGGAACGUCUGGCGUUAUUAACGUUUAGGCUGAGUUCUCGUGCAUCUGCUCACGAACCAUAUUGCUCUUAACUGAGUGACGUCGGGGAUUGAUUCAUUUACUUUGAGAAAAAUAAAGUGUUUAAAGCAGGUUUAUGCAUCUGAAUAAGUUAGCAUGGAAUAAUGAUAAAGGACUUUGGUACUAUUUGUUGGUGUUAGAAACUGAAGUAAUGAUUAAUAGGGACAGUUGGGGGCAUUAGUAUUCUGAAGCAAGAGGUGAAAUUCUAGGACCUUUGGAAGACUAACUGCUGCGAAAGCGUUUGCCAAGGAUGUUCCCUUUGAUCAAGAACGAAAGUUGGGGGAUCGAAGACGAUCAGAUACCGUCGUAGUCUCAACUAUAAACUAUACCAACUAGGGAUCAGCCGGCGUUUUUUUCAACGGGCCCGGUUGGCACCUUUUGAGAAAUCAAAGUAUUUGGGUUCCGGGGGGAGUAUGGUCGCAAGGCUGAAACUUAAAGGAAUUGACGGAAGGGCACCACCAGGUGUGGAGCCUGUGGCUUAAUUUUGACUCAACACGGGAAAACUUACCAGGUCCAGACAUAAUUAGGAUUGACAGAUUGAGAGCCCUUUCUUGAUUUUAUGGGUGGUGGUGCAUGGCCGUUCUUAGUUGGUGGAGUGAUUUGUCUGGUUAAUUCCGUUAACGAACGAGACCCCAGCCUGCUAAAUAGCGCACGUGUGCGUUUGCAUGCGGUGAGCUUCUUAGAGGGACCAUAGCUCGCAAUACAGUCCAGGGAAGUUUGGGGCAAUAACAGGUCUGUGAUGCCCUUAGAUGUUCUGGGCCGCACACGGGCUACAUUGAUGCAUGCAAUGAGCAUAUCAGCUGGCUAUAAAUAGUCUUUGGCUAACCUUUUGAACUUGCAUCGUACUAGGGAUUGACUAUUGUAAUUGUUAGUCAUGCAACGAGGAAUAUCUUGUAAAUAUGAGUCAUCAACUCACAUUGAAUAUGUCCCUGCCCUUUGUACACACCGCCCGUCGCUCCUACCGAUGAAUGUUCCGAUGAAAUUUUUAGAGGGGUUUUAUAAUCUGGGUUUACCCGGACGUCCGAAAUCGCAAAAUUGUUUAAAUCUGAAUAUUUCGAGGAAGGAGAAGUCGUAACAAGGUUUUCGUAGGUGAACCUGCAGAAGGAUC